rnacentral:lncRNA from 1 species
CAGCACCCUCGCUCAGCGUGAGCGGGAGGCCACCAUCGGCAGGCGCAACGCGAGGGCCGGACGCUACGCUCCGUCUCCACCCACGCGGAGGAGCUGCCGGCUGCCGCCGUGCAGAAAGCACAAGCCGUGCAGUCUGCUCUGUCCCGUGCACGAUCUGUUGCCGUCAGCAGCUCUACUACCAUCCGCGCUGCCACUGCGAUGCAAGUCUGCGACAUUGAACUGCAGUGUACAGUGCAAUUAGUUCUCCUGGACCAUGUGCUCUUGAUUCACCUCCGCCGUUCCUUGUCUCGUGAGUGUGCGCAUGCUCAGUGCUCCAGAUUCUCUUCCCCUGCUACUCGAUUGGGUCUAGCUUAGUGUAAUUUGUUCUGUACUCGUGCAAGUACUACUUGUGUUGGAUGUUGCUGCCCGGUGUACUUUUGUUUACUCAUUCUAGUUCUGUUGGAUUUGCUUGUUCUGAACUUCUGAUUUGCUCGAUCUGAUGAAUGGAAUGCAGGAAGUUAAUCCCCACGGGGCCCCGCGGGGUUCGGAGAUCUGGCGGGGAUGAGGAUGGGGCAAGAAUUUUCCCUAAUUGAUGUUUCACGGCCGGAACGGGUACGAGAGAUCGGGGAUUGGGGCGGGGACGGGGGCGCCUCCCUGGCUCCGACCCGCCCCGUUGCCAUCCUGAGUAGUAUGCAAGCAUUCUCACGCGAGGCACGUUCGCCACGGCAUGAGUAAUAAUGAACCGGCACGUGGCAUGGGACCUACGGGAUUAGUUAGAGCAAGGAUUAGAGCAAGUUUAAUAGUUGAGCCGGCUACAAGAUGUACACAUCAUCAAAUAUUAGCUCAUGCCUUGUAUAGUAAUGAGCUUUUAGCUAGCUGAUAAACUAUAUAAUAAAUAUUACUUGGCCCCACUGCUCU